rnacentral:rRNA from 1 species
AGUCUGCAACUCGACUGCACGAAGCUGGAAUCGCUAGUAAUCGCGGAUCAGCACGCCGCGGUGAAUACGUUCCCGGGCCUUGUACACACCGCCCGUCACACCAUGGAAGUCUGCAAUGCCCGAAGCCGGUGGCCUAACCACUUAUGUGGAAAGGAGCCGUCUAAGGCAGGGCAGAUGACUGGGGUGAAGUCGUAACAAGGUACC